rnacentral:tRNA from 1 species
GAGGGUAUAGCUCAGUGGCAGAGCACAUGCUUAGCAUGCAUGAAGUCCUGGGUUCAAUCCCCACUACCUCCA